GUGUCCGACUCUGCAACUCCAUGGACUGUAGCUCACCAGACUCCUCUGUCCAUCUGAUUUCCCAGACAAGAAUAGUGGAGUGGGUUGCUAUUUCCUCCUCCAGGGGAUCUUCCCAACCAAGGGAUUGAACCCACGUCUCCUGCUUUGGCAGGUGGGUUCUAUAUCUCUGAGUCAUCAGGGAAGCCUGAAGGGGACUUACUUAUGGUGGAAUAAGAGGCGAGCAGGAAGAGGUUGGCCCUGGAAGGGAGAACUUUAGAUGGCCUGGCUUCUCCCUCUCAUAUAAAAUUCAAAGAGCUCUUCUCUAAAGAAAUUGCACAACUCCAGAGCAGUCUCCUGAAUUCUGGCAUUUAAUGAGAUCCUGGUUUGUUGUUUUAUUUUUAAAGUUCUCACUCCAUGACCCAAAAGCAGCAGCAGUUAUGAACCCGCAGUGUGCAUCAGAAUCACAUGAUAAAGAAAUGUGAAGAACUCUCCUGAAGCCAUACAGCUCAUUUGUACAGAAUCAAGUUUAGAACUCAGUAUGUUUUCCUCCUAUAUCACACCACUUCAUAGGCAUCCAUUUCAUAGAGUAUGGUGAUUAACAUUAAAAAUUCUGAGCACUGAGCAACAUUAUCCAGCUGGCUGGGAGAACAUUGCCUUCACAUGGUCCUUUAACACAGGCACUUACAAAGCCCUCUACAAGGUCCCAGAGAAUAACAGGAAUUGCACAGAGGCACUGCGUUAAGUCUGAACCUAGAAGGUGAAGGCUGUCAAUAGAUGCAGCUCCACGAAGCAGGUCAAACAGAAGAAUGGCAAUGGAGCAGAAUUGCCCCCGUGCUUUCCCAGUGGACUGUGUUUACUGACAUCUGUUCUGUUUGUCUUGAAC
ensembl:lncRNA